UACGUAGGUGGCAAGCGUUGUCCGGAAUUAUUGGGCGUAAAGCGCGCGCAGGCGGUUUCUUAAGUCUGAUGUGAAAGCCCACGGCUCAACCGUGGAGGGUCAUUGGAAACUGGGGAACUUGAGUGCAGAAGAGAAAAGCGGAAUUCCACGUGUAGCGGUGAAAUGCGUAGAGAUGUGGAGGAACACCAGUGGCGAAGGCGGCUUUCUGGUCUGUAACUGACGCUGAGGCGCGAAAGCGUGGGGAGCAAACAGG
rnacentral:rRNA from 1 species